GGGGCAGUUUGUCGGGGCCCAUUAAAUGCCUUCACUUCAUCUUGGCUUAAGCUGGGAAACCCAGGAUGGAUGCUUGUCUCUUUCAUGUUGCACUUCAUUCAGCUUUUCAUCCUGGAAUGAGAAUUGCUACUCACAUAUUCACUGCUCAGCCAGCUCUGCGUGUAUUCUGAAGGCUUUCAGGAAGACUUCCCCGUGGAGUGUGGAUUUUCUUGUCGUUUACCACUUUCAGUUCCUUUUCUCUGCUUUUGGGACA